AUACGGAGGAUCCGAGCGUUAUCCGGAUUUAUUGGGUUUAAAGGGUGCGCAGGCGGGAGAUUAAGUCGGCGGUGAAAUUUUGCAGCUCAACUGUAAAAGUGCCUUCGAAACUGGUUUCCUUGAGUGUAGAUGAAGUAGGAGGAAUUUGUGGUGUAGCGGUGAAAUGCAUAGAUAUCACGAGGAACUCCGAUUGCGCAGGCAGCUUACUAAACUACUACUGACGCUCAGGCACGAAGGCGUGGGGAUCAAACAGGAUUAGAUACCCUGGUAGUCCACGCAGUAAACGAUGAUUACUAGCUGUUUGCGAUACAAUGUAAGCGGCUGAGCGAAAGCGUUAAGUAAUCCACCUGGGGAGUACGUUCGCAAGAAUGAAACUCAAAGGAAUUGACGGGG
rnacentral:rRNA from 1 species